rnacentral:rRNA from 1 species
CCCUUAGAUGUUCUGGGCCGCACGCGCGCCACACUGAUGCAUUCAACGAGUCUAAAACCUGCUCUGAUAGGGGUGGGUAAUCUUUUGAAUGUGCAUCGUGAUUGGGAUAGAUGAUUGAAAUUUUUCAUCUUCAACGAGGAAUGCCUAGUAAACGCAAGUCAUCAGCUUGCAUUGAUUACGUCCCUGCCCUUUGUACACACCGCCCGUCGCUCCUACCGAUUGAAUGAUCCGAUGAAUAUCAUGGAUUGAGGAUGCAAGUAGGUUCACCUAUCUUCAUCUUCGAGAAGUGAAGUAAAUCUUAUCAUUUAGAGGAAGGAGAAGUCGUAACA